CGAAUACAAGUUGGGGAAUUUGGCCUUUAAUCUUUAAUCUUACUUUUGGCUAUUUUGCUGCUUGGAUGAUUGGUUUUGAAUGUCAUUUACACGCCUCCACUUUCGUUCUUCUAAGCGCGACCGUGUUAUUGCGGUUUCAGGACCGCCGCAAUUCCAAACGCCGAGAGCGGUGCACAUCUUCGAAUGAAAUCGGUGUACGACCAUUUGGCUCCUCUCUUUCUGUUUUUGCUACAAUGGAUGGAUAGUUCAUGAAUGUGUCUACUCCCUAGAUAUGUAGACCUCUUCCACGUACUUCUAUACGAAGUAUAUGCAGAUGGGAGAUUAAAGAUAUCUACACAUGGAAGGAAGGCAACGGUUAGGGAAUUUUAUGGUGUUAUAUUGUCAUCUAUUCAAAGGCCUCAUGGUUGCUUGGGGUGGUUGGAUGAUGAUAAGGAAAGGCGUUUUACAAUAGAGAGUUCCGGUAAGAGAUGAUUCUAGCAUAUUGACUUGGAGAGGGAAGAUGAAUGUGGGAUUUGCUUGGAGCCUUGCACCAAAAUGGUCUUUCUGAGUUGUUGUCAUGCAAUGUGCAUCAAAUGCUACGGGAAUUGGUAACUGGAAACCACCCACUAUACCUCUUGCAUUUCUAUUCUUUCCCAGUUUCUGCCCUUGAUGGUUAUCAUUCCA